GGACUGAUAGCUCAAUCGGUUAGAGCACUGACCUUAUAAGUCAGAGGUUAGAGGUUCGAUUCCUCUUCGGUCUA
rnacentral:tRNA from 1 species